GGAUUCGUAGUUCAGUUGGUAGAGCGUGCGCCGUACAAAAGCGUAGGUGGCGUCCAUGCGUGGCUUCAAAUCCCACCGAGGCUA
rnacentral:tRNA from 1 species